UUGAAUGGUUCAACAACUUUAUUAGGGUUUGUGUUUACAGAAUGUGUAACAGAACAGAUACUCAGAAAGCCAUAUAUACUCCCCUACAGUUAAAACAGCUUAUACAGCUUUUUCCUAGACCAAGGAGCAAAGUAACAUUUUUGUUUUCCACCAUUUUAGAAUCUGAUUUUACAGAAACAUUAAGAAGCACAGCUUUAGAAAUCAAUCAUAAUCAAAUGGGAAUUUUACCCUAAAUCAAUUCUCAGUCAUCUUUUGCAGCUUUUUUUCUAGCAGAAAUGGAAAAUAAAGGUUUCCCACUUUUAGAAUCCAGUCUUACAGAAACCUUGCUGUCAUCAACACACAACUUUAGAAAUUCUAUAAAGAAAGUCCAUGCCCACAUGCACGGUGUAGAAUGUUUUAAUCUGGCAUACCGUUGCAUCAUGACCAUCAAAACGGCAGUCUGUGAAAAAGUUAGAUAACCAAGGUCAAAUUGCCAGGUUGGGGGGCAGAGUGCCAGGUUGACUAGAUGCAACAAUAGUUGUCAAGUUGGCAAACUAAGUUACAUUGUAAAACUACACGACUCACAAUCAUGUUUAUCCCAUUACCAAGAAAGAUCUGCUUACAGAUUGGAUGAAUAAAUAUUUACGCAAUAUUUACACCUCAUGCAUGAUCCAUUUCUUCUAAAUGUCGGUGGCCUUAAGUUGUUUUUGGUGGUCUGUACGUGCCGAUUAUCCACCUCAUCUCCAGAAGCUUAUGAGGGAUAACUGCUAGUAGAGGAACACAGUUGUCAUAUCCAACUAAAACUGGUUAAUCUUAGUUUGGGUUCCUCAAAGAUUGUUCAGGGUGAAUUCCCUUACCUGGGGGGACUUAAGCCAGGAAUCCCUGAGACUGUUUGUCUUAGAAGAAAAUGCAUUCAGCUUUUGACACGGUGUGAUUGAUUGGUGGCUGCCUUGUAAUUCCACACUGAUGCUCUGGUGAGUCAGGGUGAGAAGAGAUGGUCUCGGUGAUAGAAACAUCAAGCUUUAAAACAGGACAGUCAAGGUUCUGGGCAGAGGGCGGUUUCUGUGACGGAGACAUCAUGUUUGGCUUUCAAUAGGCAGAUUAGAAAAAGGUCUUCCUUGAGAGUCUGAGCCAAC
ensembl:lncRNA